GAUGAACGCUCGCGGCAGGCCUAAUACAUGCAAGUCGGACGGGAUUCAGGAGCUUGCUUCUGAUGAGAGUGGCGCACGGGUGCGUAAAACGUAUGUAACCUACCUUUAUCAGGGGGAUAGCCUCUCGAAAGAGAGAUUAAGCCCGCAUAAAAUCACAGCACAGCAUUGUGUAAUGAUCAAAUAUUUAUAGGAUAAAGAUGGGCAUGCGGAACAUUAGCUAGAUGGCGGGGUAACGGCCCACCAGGGCGACGAUGUUUAGGGGAUCUAAGAGGAUGGGCCCCCACACGGGUACUGGGACAAGGACCAGACUCCUACGGGAGGCAGCAGUAAGGAAUAUUGGUCAAUGGGCGGAUGCCUGAACCAGCCAUGCCGCGUGCAGGAAGGCGGCCCUACGGGUUGUAAACUUCUUUUAUACGGGAAUAAACCCAGAUACGUGUAUCUGGCUGAAUGUACUGGAAGAAUAAGGAUCGGCUAACUCCGUG
rnacentral:rRNA from 1 species